GUAGAUACAUUCCAGCCAAUCAGCAGCAGACCCUCCCUCCCAGACCCUCCCACCUCCUGGACAGCAUCCAUUGUGAAGCUGCAUUCUUAGUGAGCUGUCCAGGAGGUGGGAGAGUCUGGGAGGGAGGGUCUGCUGCUGAUUGGCUGGAAUGUGUCUG